rnacentral:rRNA from 1 species
CCUACGGGUGGCAGCAGUGAGGAAUAUUGGUCAAUGGACGCAAGUCUGAACCAGCCAUGCCGCGUGCAGGAUGACGGCUCUAUGAGUUGUAAACUGCUUUUGUACGAGGGUAAACCCCGAUACGUGUAUCGGGUUGAAAGUAUCGUACGAAUAAGGAUCGGCUAACUCCGUGCCAGCAGCCGCGGUAAUACGGAGGAUCCGAGCGUUCGCCGGAUUUAUUGGGUUUAAAGGGUGCGUAGGCGGUUUGAUAAGUUAGAGGUGAAAUGUCGGGGCUCAACCCAGAAACUGCCUCGAGUACUGGUGGACGAGAGUAUAGUGGAGGUAGGCGGAAUGUGUGGUGUAGCGGUGAAAUGCUUAGAGAUCAUACAGAACACCGAUUGCGAAGGCAGCUUACCAAACUAUAACUGACGGUGAGGCACGAAAGCGUGGGUAGCAAACAGGAUUAGAUACCCGUGUAGUC